CCUGGCGGCGUUAGCGCGGUGGUCCCACCUGACCCCAUGCCGAACUCAGAAGUGAAACGCCGUAGCGCCGAUGGUAGUGUGGGGUCUCCCCAUGUGAGAGUAGGGAACUGCCAGGC
rnacentral:rRNA from 1 species